CCCAGCAUCGGUACGGGAGCUCCAGCCUGCGGUGAUGUGAUGAAGCUUCAGAUCAAGGUCGAUGAGAAGACCGGUCAGAUCGUUGAUGCUCGCUUCAAGACCUUUGGUUGUGGCUCCGCUAUCGUCGCUUCAUCUGUUGGUUUCAGAUUGAUUGGUUCAUUGUGGAGGUGGUGUUCGAAUUGAUUGGUUCUUGAUGAAUUAUGUUUGAUAUUAAUCGGUUCUUGUUCAUUGGGAAGUAUAUCCAAGUGCCACCUCCGUUGAAUUACCUUUUGGUGACUACGACAUUGCUUGUAGGUGCUGCUGGCGCUGGUGCUUCAGUUCUUGGAAUGAUCUCGAGUGGUUUUAGCUCGACCAUAUUCACUGCUUUGGCUGUGGUUGUGAGUGCCGCAGGAGCCCCAUCGUUGUAGGAUUUCCGCUCCUGCAUAUACUAUUAUGGCGGAGGACGCCAUCAAGGUAGCUGUGAAAGACUACAAGGAGAAGCGUCUGAAGACAAACGGUGCUGGAGAAACCUCACAGGCUUGAUUCCUUUUGAUCAUGUUUAUUUUGAAUAAACUCUGUUGAAAAAACAUCUGAUUUAUUUUAGGAUCUCUUUAUUACUUUUCAUACAAGUUUGUGCCAUGAACUGAACAUUUAAUUUAUUAAGAGACAACUAAAA